GGUUAAGCGACUAAGCGUACACGGUGGAUGCCCUGGCAGUCAGAGGCGAUGAAGGACGUGCUAAUCUGCGAAAAGCGUCGGUAAGGUGAUAUGAACCGUUAUAGCCGGCGAUGUCCGAAUGGGGAAACCCAGUGCAAUUCGUUGCACUAUCGUUUGAUGAAUACAUAGUCAAACGAGGCGAACCGGGGGAACUGAAACAUCUAAGUACCCCGAGGAAAAGAAAUCAACCGAGAUUCCCCCAGUAGCGGCGAGCGAACGGGGAGCAGCCCGGAGUCUGAAUCAGCUUGUGUGUUAGUGGAAGCGUCUGGAAAGUCGCAGGGUACAGGGUGAUACUCCCGUACACUAAAACACACAGGCUGUGAACUCGAAGAGUAGGGCGGGACACGUGGUAUCCUGUCUGAAUAUGGGGGGACCAUCCUCCAAGGCUAAAUACUCCUGACUGACCGAUAGUGAACCAGUACCGUGAGGGAAAGGCGAAAAGAACCCCGGCGAGGGGAGUGAAAAAGAACCUGAAACCGUGUACGUACAAGCAGUAGGAGCCCACUAGUUGGGUGACUGCGUACCUUUUGUAUAAUGGGUCAGCGACUUAUAUUCUGUAGCAAGGUUAACCGUAUAGGGGAGCCGCAGGGAAACCGAGUCUUAACUGGGCGUUAAGUUGCAGGGUAUAGACCCGAAACCCGGUGAUCUAGCCAUGGGCAGGUUGAAGGUUGGGUAACACUAACUGGAGGACCGAACCGACUAAUGUUGAAAAAUUAGCGGAUGACUUGUGGCUGGGGGUGAAAGGCCAAUCAAACCGGGAGAUAGCUGGUUCUCCCCGAAAGCUAUUUAGGUAGCGCCUCGUGAACUCAUCUUCGGGGGUAGAGCACUGUUUCGGCUAGGGGGUCAUCCCGACUUACCAACCCGAUGCAAACUACGAAUACCGAAGAAUGUUAUCACGGGAGACACACGGCGGGUGCUAACGUCCGUCGUGAAGAGGGAAACAACCCAGACCGCCAGCUAAGGUCCCAAAGUCAUGGUUAAGUGGGAAACGAUGUGGGAAGGCCCAGACAGCCAGGAUGUUGGCUUAGAAGCAGCCAUCAUUUAAAGAAAGCGUAAUAGCUCACUGGUCGAGUCGGCCUGCGCGGAAGAUGUAACGGGGCUAAACCAUGCACCGAAGCUGCGGCAGCGACACUAUGUGUUGUUGGGUAGGGGAGCGUUCUGUAAGCCGUUGAAGGUGGCCUGUGAGGGUUGCUGGAGGUAUCAGAAGUGCGAAUGCUGACAUAAGUAACGAUAAUGCGGGUGAAAAACCCGCACGCCGGAAGACCAAGGGUUCCUGUCCAACGUUAAUCGGGGCAGGGUGAGUCGACCCCUAAGGCGAGGCCGAAAGGCGUAGUCGAUGGGAAACAGGUUAAUAUUCCUGUACUUGGUGUUACUGCGAAGGGGGGACGGAGAAGGCUAUGUUGGCCGGGCGACGGUUGUCCCGGUUUAAGCAUGUAGGCGGAUGUUCCAGGUAAAUCCGGAACGUCACUAACGCUGAGGUGUGAUGACGAGGCACUACGGUGCUGAAGUGACAAAUGCCCUGCUUCCAGGAAAAGCCUCUAAGCAUCAGGUAACAUCAAAUCGUACCCCAAACCGACACAGGUGGUCAGGUAGAGAAUACCAAGGCGCUUGAGAGAACUCGGGUGAAGGAACUAGGCAAAAUGGUGCCGUAACUUCGGGAGAAGGCACGCUGAUGGUAGGUGAAGUGACUUGCUCAUGGAGCUGAAAUCAGUCGAAGAUACCAGCUGGCUGCAACUGUUUAUUAAAAACACAGCACUGUGCAAACACGAAAGUGGACGUAUACGGUGUGACGCCUGCCCGGUGCCGGAAGGUUAAUUGAUGGGGUUAUCCGUAAGGAGAAGCUCUUGAUCGAAGCCCCGGUAAACGGCGGCCGUAACUAUAACGGUCCUAAGGUAGCGAAAUUCCUUGUCGGGUAAGUUCCGACCUGCACGAAUGGCGUAAUGAUGGCCAGGCUGUCUCCACCCGAGACUCAGUGAAAUUGAACUCGCUGUGAAGAUGCAGUGUACCCGCGGCAAGACGGAAAGACCCCGUGAACCUUUACUAUAGCUUGACACUGAACACUGGUCCUUGAUGUGUAGGAUAGGUGGGAGGCUUUGAAGUGUGGACGCCAGUCUGCAUGGAGCCAUCCUUGAAAUACCACCCUUUAAUGGCUGGUGUUCUAACGUGGGCCCGUGAUCCGGGUUGCGGACAGUGUCUGGUGGGUAGUUUGACUGGGGCGGUCUCCUCCUAAAGAGUAACGGAGGAGCACGAAGGUCAGCUAAUCCUGGUCGGACAUCAGGAGGUUAGUGCAAUGGCAUAAGCUGGCUUGACUGCGAGCGUGACGGCGCGAGCAGGUGCGAAAGCAGGUCAUAGUGAUCCGGUGGUUCUGAAUGGAAGGGCCAUCGCUCAACGGAUAAAAGGUACUCCGGGGAUAACAGGCUGAUACCGCCCAAGAGUUCAUAUCGACGGCGGUGUUUGGCACCUCGAUGUCGGCUCAUCACAUCCUGGGGCUGAAGUAGGUCCCAAGGGUAUGGCUGUUCGCCAUUUAAAGUGGUACGCGAGCUGGGUUUAGAACGUCGUGAGACAGUUCGGUCCCUAUCUGCCGUGGGCGCUGGAGAAUUGAGGGGGGCUGCUCCUAGUACGAGAGGACCGGAGUGGACGCAUCACUGGUGUUCGGGUUGUCAUGCCAAUGGCAUUGCCCGGUAGCUAAAUGCGGAAGAGAUAAGUGCUGAAAGCAUCUAAGCACGAAACUUGCCCCGAGAUGAGUUCUCCCUGACCCUUUAAGGGUCCUGAAGGAACGUUGAAGACGACGACGUUGAUAGGCCGGGUGUGUAAGCGCAGCGAUGCGUUGAGCUAACCGGUACUAAUGAACCGUGAGGCUUAACCUU
rnacentral:rRNA from 1 species